GGGGAGAUAGCAAAGCGGCCAAAUGCAACAGACUGUAAAUCUGUCGUCUCAGACUUCGAAGGUUCGAAUCCUUCUCUCCCCACCA
rnacentral:tRNA from 1 species